GCCUCUGUAGCUCAGCGAAUGGAGCGCCCGGUUACGAACCGGGAGGGCGAAGGUUUGAAUCCUUCCAGGGGUGCCA
rnacentral:tRNA from 1 species